GACAAACUCAUAUCACUUUAUAAGUUCAUUUUAAUUGAUAUUUUACAUUUUUUAUUUUCCAUGUCGAAAAAGGCUUUGAUAGUAAAAAUGUAAAAUGUCAGAAUAUUGACUGUUGAAUGUCAAAUGACAACUUUUUCACGUCUAAUUAUUUGGACUACUCACUAAGCAUUACAGUAUUGAAAUUUUAAAAUUAAGAAAUCCGUGAUUUUACUUGCAGGCAUGACUGAUAAAUGGAAUUAUUUUACUUUUAUAUAGAAUAUGGACGGCACUCCAGUACAGCAUAUGCAUGGUUGGACCUGUUGACAUUUUUAGAAACGCAUCUUGAUCUAUUAUACAGAGUAUUGUUGUACUGCUCCGAAGUGCUUGUUGACAGACUGAAACCACUUGCUUGCAGCUCAUAAGAUUUACUUCUUGAGAGCAGGCAGCUACAAAAUGGAAGGUCAACAAAUCCAGUAUAUUUGAAAAGCAAGAAAGAAA